rnacentral:lncRNA from 1 species
CUCUUCUGCACCCCAUAAUCCCAAGAGACAUCUCAUAUCAUGAGGAUUUAAGAAAUGCAUAGAAAUAAUGGAAGAAAUUAAGAGUUUUAAGAGAAUUGGACUCUUCCAUUUCUCAUCGCAUAAAUGUAUGGCAUCCCUAUUUAUUUUGGCAUGGAGUUCUUUCCUGGAGAAAGACUCCUCCACUUCCCCGUCCACAUGUUCCAAAGUCCCAUCUGAUGGCGCACAAAAUUAAGGGAUGUGUGAAAGUUGGUAAGAAAUUUAAGAUAAGUAAAGGAGAAGGACUCCUUUCCUUAAACAUCCAAAUAAAUGAUGCCACAAAUUUUUCUUUGUGUGGUUUUGACGUGGAGAAGAUGAUUUCAUAUGGAACACUUCCAUAA